CAGUGGCGCACGGGUGAGUAACACGUGAAUUACAUGCCCUUCAGUGGGGAAUAGCCCAGUGAAACUUGGAUUAAUACCCCAUGGUAUCGCAAGAUUAAAGGUGGCCGCAAUGCUGCCGCUGAAGGAUUGGUUCGCGCCCUAUCAGCUUGUUGGUGAGGUAACGGCUCACCAAGGCUACGACGGGUACCUGGUCUGAGAGGACGAUCAGGCACACUGGAACUGAGACACGGUCCAGACACCUACGGGUGGCAGCAGUCGAGAAUAAUUCACAAUGGGGGCAACCCUGAUGGUGCAACGCCGCGUGGAGGAUGACGGUCUUCGGAUUGUAAACUCCUGUCAUCUGGGAGAAAGACCUGGUCGUUAAUAGCGAACAGGGUUGAUAGUACCAGAAGAGGAAGGGACGGCUAACUUCGUGCCAGCAGCCGCGGUAAUACGAAGGUCCCAAGCGUUGUUCGGAAUCACUGGGCGUAAAGGGAGCGUAAGCGGCGCGGUAAGUCAGAUGUGAAAUCCCGGGGCUCAACCCCGGAACUGCAUCCGAUA
rnacentral:rRNA from 1 species